rnacentral:rRNA from 1 species
AGUGAACGCUGGCGGCGUGCCUAAUACAUGCAAGUCGAACGCUUCUUUUUCCACCGGAGCUUGCUCCACCGGAAAAAGAGGAGUGGCGAACGGGUGGGUAACACGUGGGUAACCUGCCCAUCAGAAGGGGAUAACACUUGGAAACAGGUGCUAAUACCGUAUAACAAUCAAAACCGCAUGGUUUUGAUUUGAAAGGCGCUUUCGGGGUUCGUUAAUGGAUGAACCCACGGUGCAUUAGCUAGUUGGUGAGGUAACGGCUCACCAAGGCCACGAUGCAUAGCCGACCUGAGAGGGUGAUCGGCCACAUUGGGGCUGAGACACGGCCCAAACUCCUACGGGAGGCAGCAGUAGGGAAUCUUCGGCAAUGGACGAAAGUCUGACCGAGCAACGCCGCGUGAGUGAAGAAGGUUUUCGGAUCGUAAAACUCUGUUGUUAGAGAAGAACAAGGAUGAGAGUAACUGUUCAUCCCUUGACGGUAUCUAACCAGAAAGCCACGGCUAACUACGUGCCAGCCGCCGCAGUAA